rnacentral:rRNA from 1 species
AGUGAACGCUGGCGGUAGGCCUAACACAUGCAAGUCGAACGGCAGCACAGUAAGAGCUUGCUCUUACGGGUGGCGAGUGGCGGGCGGGUGAGGAAUACAUCGGAAUCUACUUUUUCGUGGGGGAUAACGUAGGGAAACUUACGCUAAUACCGCAUACGACCUACGGGUGAAAGCAGGGGAUCUUCGGACCUUGCGCGAUUGAAUGAGCCGAUGUCGGAUUAGCUAGUUGGCGGGGUAAAGGCCCACCAAGGCGACGAUCCGUAGCUGGUCUGAGAGGAUGAUCAGCCACACUGGAACUGAGACACUGUCCAGACUCCUACGGGAGGCAGCAGUGGGGAAUAUUGGACAAUGGGCGCAAGCCUGAUCCAGCCAUACCGCGUGGGUGAAGAAGGCCUUCGGGUUGUAAAGCCCUUUUGUUGGGAAAGAAAAGCAGCAGGUUAAUACCCCGCUGUUCUGACGGUACCCAAAGAAUAAGCACCGGCUAACUUCGUG